GAACGCGAAGAACCUUACCCGGGCUUGAACUAAGAGUGACAGAUUUAGAGAUAGAUCUUUCUUCGGACACUCUUGGAGGUGCUGCAUGGAUGUCGUCAGCUCGUGCCGUGAGGUGUCGGCUUAAGUGCCAUAACGAGCGCAACCCUUUUCCUUGGUUGCCAUCAGGUAAUGCUGGGCACUCCAGGGAUACUGCCAUCGUAAGAUGUGAGGAAGGUGGGGAUGACGUCAAAUCAGCACGGCCCUUACGUCCGGGGCUACACACGUGUUACAAUGGGGGGUACAGAAGGUCGCUACCUGGUGACAGGAUGCUAAUCUCAAAAACCUCUCUCAGUUCGGAUUGGAGUCUGCAACCCGACUCCAUGAAGCUGGAUUCGCUAGUAAUCGCGCAUCAGCCAUGGCGCGGUGAAUACGUUCCCGGGUCUUGUACACACC
rnacentral:rRNA from 1 species